rnacentral:rRNA from 1 species
AGGAUAAACGCUGGCGGCGCACAUAAGACAUGCAAGUCGAACGGACUUAAUCGAUUCUUUAGAUUCGAAGCGGUUAGUGGCGGACUGGUGAGUAACGCGUGAGCAACCUGCCUAUCAGAGGGGAAUAACAGUGAGAAAUCCAGUUUGCUAAAUACCGGCAUAUGCUCACAGCAUCACAUGAUGCAGUGAGGAAAGGAGCAAUCCGCUGAUAGAUGGGCUCGCGUCUGAUUAGCUAGUUGGUGGGGCAACGGCCUACCAAGGCGACGAUCAGUAGCCGGACUGAGAGGUUGAACGGCCACAUUGGGACUGAGAUACGGCCCAGACUCCUACGGGAGGCAGCAGGUCGGGAAUAUUGCGCAAAUGGAGGAAACUCUGACGCAGUGACGCCGCGUAUAGGAAGAAGGUUUUCGGAUUGUAAACUAUUGUCGUUAGGGAAGAAACAAGACGGUACCUAAGGAGGAAGCCCCGGCUAACUAUGUGCCAGCCGCCGC